rnacentral:hammerhead_ribozyme from 1 species
AUCUAGCCGACGAGUCUCAAAUAGGACGAAACCCGUGUUAUGGAU